rnacentral:lncRNA from 1 species
ACCCUACUCUAAUAAGGCUUUAAUAUCUGGAGCUCAUAGGUGGGAGAUAAAGUAUACAUACUUAUAAGACAUUUAUUGCAUAGUCAAACCAUGGAUCCAAAGAAACAAAUCAAUAAGUUUAAUCAAGAUGUGCAUGUGUGGCGAAUGAAUGGUGUAUGGUGAUGAUGGUGAUAACAAUGGUGAAAACAAUGGAGGUGCAAGUCUAAUUCUACUUUGCUCUUUGAGGGGAUACAUACCUUCCUUGCUUUUGAAACUUUAUGAUAAGAAUGAGAUGCUCUUCUUUUUCUUUUCUCUCAGGUGGGCAUCUUGUACCCCUAAUUCUACUGUCGGACACUUGUCCAUUUUUACCUCUCAUCUCACUUUUUUCUUUUCUUUCGAGGUUCCGAGCACUUGCUCCUUUUUAUUUUCUCGUAUUUUUUCUCUUUUUUUAGAGCAGUCAUCUCUUGAGAUAAUAUAGCAAGUGGUAGUAACAAGAUAACUUGAGCAUUUAUUUCACAAGGGGAAAAUAGAAAUAUUUUUGGUUAUUCUCUCCCGGAUUAGGAGUAGAAUAUUUUUGGGUGAUUCCGGAGAUGGAAUGGGUGGAUAUAUGUGGAUGGUACUUCCGGAGUAGAAGUAGCAUAUAUGAGUGAACGUGCAAGUGAAAUCUUGAUUUAACCACAUGACAAGCUCCUAAGGGUCGACACAGCUUGACCACACUCAAUGCUCAUAAGCAGUAAAUAGUAAAUGUGUGGCUCAAAAUCUAGCAAGCAUGUAUAUAUGGUCGUGGUAGGAAUUUAAACUCUCAUCAUACAGGAACUCAUCAUGCAACAUUUUAAAGAUUUUCAAAGAUAAAAUUCUCCAGAAUUCUAGCAUCUCUAGGAACAGAUAAACAGCAGCUCAACCUUCCCAUAUCGUAUCCGUUAAGAACUUAGACUUCAGAUCAAGUUUUCAUCCCACAAGUUUAGGUCU